CCUACGGGAGGCAGCAGUGGGGAAUAUUGCACAAUGGGGGAAACCCUGAUGCAGCGACGCCGCGUGCGUGAAGAAGUAAUUCGUUAUGUAAAGCUCUAUCAGCAGGGAAGAAAAUGACGGUACCUGAGUAAGAAGCCCCGGCUAACUACGUGCCAGCAGCCGCGGUAAUACUGAGGGGGCAAGCGUUAUCCGGAUUUACUGGGUGUAACGGGAGCGUAGACGGCAGGGCAAGUCUGGAGUGAAAGGCGGGGGCUCAACCCCCGGACUGCUCUGGAAACUGUACGGCUGGAGUGCAGGAGAGGUAAGUGGAAUUCCUAGUGUAGCGGUGAAAUGCGUAGAUAUUAGGAGGAACACCAGUGGCGAAGGCGGCUUACUGGACUGUAACUGACGUUGAGGCUCGAAAGCGUGGGGAGCAAACAGGAUUAGAUACCCCAGUAGUC
rnacentral:rRNA from 1 species